AUACGGAGGGGGCUAGCGUUGUUCGGAAUUACUGGGCGUAAAGCGCGCGUAGGCGGUCCAUCAAGUUAGGCGUGAAAGGCCUGGGCUCAACCCGGGAACUGCGCUUAAUACUGGUGAACUUGAGUCCGGGAGAGGGUGGCGGAAUUCCCAGUGUAGAGGUGAAAUUCGUAGAUAUUGGGAAGAACACCAGUGGCGAAGGCGGCCACCUGGCCCGGUACUGACGCUGAGGUGCGAAAGCGUGGGGAGCAAACAGAAUUAGAAACCCCGGUAGUCC
rnacentral:rRNA from 1 species